rnacentral:lncRNA from 1 species
AACACAAGACUAAUACAUGCUCCCAUAGAAAUUUCAGGAAUUGCAAGAUUAUUCUUGUGUUAGCUCAACACUUUGUGCAAAAAAAGCUCACAUUAAUAACUUCCAACAUGAAGAGAUGUGAAUCAUAUAUCUUUAACACAGUAAAAUAAACAGCACCGGCAUGAGCACCACAACACAACACAGCUCAUAUACCACCAAACCAAACUGACCAUUGCAAACUAUAAGUUGACCUCAACACAAACAACACAUUCACACAAAGUAUGCAUGGCUGAAACACAACCUCAUAUGUAGACUUUAACUUAAUUCAUGAGUUUGAAUCAAAGGAGUAACAAUCAGAACCAUUUCCUGUAGUGAUGUCAACCUUUAUUGUUGAACAGGAAAAUGCUAAUAGCUAGUUACAGAGAUAAACAUAAUCCUCCCAGAAGAGUCUUGGCAAUUUGCAUUAAAUAUUAACAUGGUUGCAAAACUUCAGUUUGAGGGUAGCAUGUUUCUUUAGCCUUUACUUGACUGGAAUUACAAAAUGAAGCACAUGAACAAAUCAUACGAACAAGCAACCCCAUGAAGACCGCUCACUUGAAUCUUGUUUAUACUUUUCUUGCAGAUUAAGAUGUGGGGGAAGAGCAUUAC